UACAGAGGUGGCAAGCGUUGUUCGGAAUUACUGGGCGUAAAGGGCGCGUAGGCGGCCUUCUAAGUCAGACGUGAAAUCCCCAGGCUUAACUUGGGAACUGCGUCUGAUACUGGAGGGCUCGAGUGCGGGAGAGGGAUGUGGAAUUCCAGGUGUAGCGGUGAAAUGCGUAGAUAUCUGGAGGAAUACCGGUGGCGAAGGCGGCAUCCUGGACCGGCAUUGACGCUGAGGAGCGAAAGCCAGGGGAGCAAACGGG
rnacentral:rRNA from 1 species